ACGAAACGGGGCUCAGGAAUUGUGCUUUUUUUGUUGCUCAAUGAACUCUAUUCCACAACCUUCUCGGUUUCAGUUUAUUAACUCCAUCAAACAAGAACCGUUUCUGGUUUCACUUGCUGAGAUUCAACUUCAGUACUUGCUGCUGUUGCUGCUUCCUUUGUCCCUGAACCACCGAGCACACAGAACAAAUUAAACCAAGUUCAAUGCCGCCAAUAGAGCAAUCAGACAAUAAAAGACAUCCAACUUUCCCUAGUUAAGAUCUGGAGCCAACCAGUCUCCAUUCAUCCUGGUGAACGAUCGAUAUUGGCAGACUGCUCAGGUAAUUCGACCCCGCCAGCUUCUCAUAUUCUCUGGGAACUGCUUUUAGAAAAAUUCAACUAGAGCAAUGAGUGCAAUUGCUUCAGAUACUCUGUCAUAAUACUAGCUGAGGCACCAGACAUAACCCUGACAUAGGAGAGACUGCAUCUCUUCUCAGGCUGACUCUGAUUGGGUCAUGACUUUCCUUAGCCUUUUGACGACAAUUCGAUCAUAGAUUGGAACCCAAGGCCAAGCAUAGUGAAAACAAAGUAUCUCGCGGGAGGAAUCUUGAGCUAAGUGUUAACAAUGCGCCAAUCGGAUUGAAGAGGUUGGAAGACCACAAGAGUUUGCUGUUGGACUAUGGGUAUGUAGGAGACACUGGUCGAGACCCCUGUCGGGAUGGCUCUCAUCAAACACUUCACUUCCUCAACCCGCUGAAUUCUGCAGAGUCCAAAGGAUUGGCCGCGUGGACCCAUCCUGGUUGAUAGGGUCUUCUAGGGUGAUAAUUGCAGCUUUGUGGAGGAAUUUGAAAGCAUCGGCAAGUUAAUUAAACUUCCAGGACCAUUAGUAACUCUCUGAUUUUUCUGCGUUCUUGUGGCCGAAAAUCUCAAUCUGAUCUUGCAGCUUCUCUGAAUGCUUCAUGCUUUUAGUACAUGAAGUUUAGGAUUGAAGAACACUUAAUAAUUCAAGUAACAAAAGUAUUCCAGUGAAUUACACAAAUUGAUUGGUGCGAGUUAGUUUGACGA